rnacentral:rRNA from 1 species
AACGUAGGACGCGAGCGUUAUCCGGAGUUACUGGGCGUAAAGCGCGGGCAGGCGGUCUGACAAGUCUGAUGUGAAAUCUCCGGGCUUAACCGGGAGAGGCCAUUGGAAACUGACAGGCUGGAGGGCAGUAGAGGUAGGCGGAAUUCCGGGUGGAGUGGUGAAAUGCGUAGAGAUCCGGAGGAACACCAGAGGCGAAGGCGGCCUACUGGGCUGCACCUGACGCUGAGCCGCGAAAGCCAGGGGAGCAAACGGG